rnacentral:lncRNA from 1 species
AUAGUAUUCUGCCAGGAAUCCAGCUGACCGAAUUACCCACACUUGCCCACCUUAGGCCUUCAUUCGCAGCAGGCAUGUGUGCCUGGGUUUGUUACCAGCAGCCAUUUUCUCACCCUUAAAUGAGGGAUGGGUCUCCCCUUUUCUUUUUCUCAUUUUCCUAGAGGUUACAAGAUUCCUGUUUUUCUCACCAGGAGGAGAGGUCAGCCUCAGUGAGCUCAUAGCAGUCAUACAUUGCCAGUGUUUUUCCUCAAGUGGAAGGAGAAAGGCCUUCAGAAAAAAAAUCGUAUGCAAACCUAGUGCUACCACCAGCAGUAGCUCUGAAUCGAGAUUUUUGGGAGAAUUAGGCUUACUAAAGAUAAACUACAAUAAGUCUCAAGGAAGCAAAUAAUUCUGAUUCUAAUGAGGAAUCCAAGAAUAAAGGCAGCUCUUAAGGUACGGAAGUGAACUGUCUGUGGGUGACUUGCCUGGAUGCCGGCUAUAGCUGCAGCCCCCAAAGUCGAAGCUACCAGAACAGGUUGGAUGAGGAUGGCCCAAAGAUUAUGGAGUUGCUGGCCCCAAAGCAAGUCAGACACUAUGGGAAGUUUGCAUGAAUCAUGCCCUUGGAUAGACAACCUAAAUCAUACCUCAUCGAGCAUGGAUCCUGGUCAGCAUACCAAGUCAAGGCAAGUAAAGACUGAAGAAAUAUCACCUGGUCUGCAGCUCCCCCCAGAACGAAGUCUGCUACUGAUGGCAGAAGCAUAGAUAGACCAAGGGUAUCACUAUGUAAUGAUGGAAGAAGGAAAAACCCCAUGCAUUCACUCAUGUCUUGAAUCACCUAGAGAAGAGAGGGAAUCUGCCAAAGUGGACACAAUAGAAAUUCAGUUCUAAAUUUGGAGGAAAUGAGGCCCACUCUCAGAUAAGAUGAAAAGUAAAAGCCCUAGGAUCCAAUGGGGUAUUAAACAAAUAUUUAAAAGU